CCUACGGGCGGCAGCAGUGAGGAAUAUUGGUCAAUGGGCGUAAGCCUGAACCAGCCAAGUAGCGUGAAGGAUGACGGCCCUAUGGGUUGUAAACUUCUUUUAUAUGGGAAUAAAGUGCGGUAUGUGUACUGCUUUGCAUGUACCUUAUGAAUAAGGAUCGGCUAACUCCGUGCCAGCAGCCGCGGUAAUACGGAGGAUCCGAGCGUUAUCCGGAUUUAUUGGGUUUAAAGGGAGCGUAGGCGGGUUGUUAAGUCAGUGGUGAAAGUUUGGGGCUCAACCGUAGAAUUGCAGUUGAGACUGGGAGGCGUGAGUAUGGGAGAGGCAGGCGGGAUGCGUGGUGUAGCGGUGAAAUGCUUAGAUAGCACGAAGAACGCCGAGUGCGAAGGCAGCCUGCGGGGCCGUGACUGACGCUGAUGCGCGAAAGGGUGGGGAUCAAACAGGAUUAGAUACCCGUGUAGUG
rnacentral:rRNA from 1 species